GCUGGCCUUGUGACCACCCAAGGCUUGGUAAGAAGAAAACGCCUUGUCGCACACGCUGCACUUGAAGAGAAGCUUCUGGUCAGAGGACGACGUCGUUGCAGCAGUAGAUGGAGCAGGAGACUUCUGUCGCUGUGAGGCGGUGGUGGUCGUGUUGCAGUUAGUUAAGACGGCGGUGGAGGUUGUGCCACGUGCAAGCAUGACGAGGCAGAGCGCGAGAUACUCUUCUUCAGUUGGAGGAUU
rnacentral:lncRNA from 1 species